rnacentral:lncRNA from 1 species
AAAAAGAAGAAAGAAGAACACAAAGAAAAAGAAUAGAAGCAAGAACAAAAAAAGAAAAAUGAUGUAGAGGAAGAAAACAAGAAGUGAAAUAGCAAAAGAAAAAGUAAGAAGAAAAAAGAAGAAAAUGUAAAAGAAAAAGAAUGAAGAAGAGAAAAGAGAGAAGAAGAAGAAGAAAUGAAAGAAAAGAAAGAUUAGAAAAGAAGGUUUCGGGAUUUGUUUUUCUAGGCAACAAGGUAAUUACUUUACAUAUUUUUUUUCUAUAUAUGUUUGAAUGCAUAUAUUUCUCCUUGUUCUUCAUUUUUCUUCUUAUUUUUUUAUUCUUUCUUUCUUCCUCUUAUCUUUUUCUCUUUUUUGUUUGUUUUUGUAAGCUAAAAGGUAAUUUACAUUUACAUUUUUUUUUAUCAUGUAUAUCUUUGAAGGGAUAUAUUUAUUCUUCUUGUUCUUGUUCUUCCUUUUUUUUUCAUAUUUUUUCUUCUUCUUUCUUUCUUUCCUUUUUCUUCUUUGUUUUUUUUUUUUGUUAAGCUUCAAUUUAAAUUAAUUUUACAUUUUUUUCAUGUAUAGGUUUGAAGUGUUAUAUUUCUUCUUUCUUUUACCCCCUUUCCUUAGUCAACUAUUUGAGAAAUCCUUUUAAUUAUAAGAUAUUAUAUUCAACUAAAAAAAUAAGAUAAUUAAUAUAAUAUAAUAUAAUUUGUUUAAUAAUAUAUUAUACUCUUCACAUUACUUCUUAAAAUAAGUUACGAAAGUUCCAAAUAUUUCAAAAUUAAUUUUUACUAAAAGUUAAAAGCAGAUAUAGAAGUACUUUUUAUCGAAUCUAAUAUUUAUUUAUACAAUAUUUUAGGCUACAAAGUAAAUUAAUUAACAUUCAUUUUUGUGUUGUAUAGGUUUGAAGGCAUAUAGAUCUUUCCUUUUUACAUCUUUCUUUUUUUCUUUUUUUCUUCUCUUCUACUUUCUUCUUUCUUUUUCUUUUGCUCUUUCACUUCUUGUUUUCUUCCUCUACAUCAUUUUUCUAUUUUUCCUGUUGCUUCUAUUCUUCUUCUUUGUGUCCUUCUUUCUUCUUUUUAUUCUUUGUUGUUCUUUUUUCUUUAAGAAAAAAUGUUUCUUAGAGAAAAAAGAACAAACAAGCGUAAAAAGAAGAAAGGAGAACACAAAGAAAGAAGAAUAUAAGCAAGAAGAAAAAAAGAAAAAGAAAUGGAAAAAGAAAAUGUAAAAGAAAAAGAAUGAAGAAGAGAAAAAAGAGAAAAGAGAGAAGAAGAAGAAGUCAAAGAAAUGAAAAUGAGAAAAUAAGGUUUCCGGAUUUGUUUUUCUAGACAACAAGGUAAUUACUUUUAAUUUUUUUUUUCUAUAUAUGUUUGAAUGUAUAUAUUUUUCCUUGUUCUUCAUUUUUUUUCUUUCUUUAUUCCUCUUACCUUUUUUCUCUUUUUUUUUGUUUGUUUUUGUAAGCUAAAAGUGAUAUAUUUCUUCUUCUUAAUUUUUUUCAUCUAUUUCUUUUUUUCUUUCUUUCUUUCUUCUUCUUCUUCUUUGUUUUUAAUUUUUGUAAGCUACAAUGUAAAUUACUUUUACAUUUUUUUUCAUGUAUAGGUUUGAAGGGAUAUAUAUAUAUAUAUAUAUUUUUUCUUUCUUUUGCCCCCUUUCUUUAGUCAACCAUAUGAGAAUUCUUUUUAAUUAUAAGAUAUUAUAUUCAACUAAAAAAUGUAAAUAUAAAUAAAAUAAGAUAAUUAAUAUAAUAUAAUAUAAAUAGUUUUAUAAUAUAAUAUAUUUUUAAUUUUUUUGGAUAUGUUUGAAGGGUUAUAUUUCUUCUUUUUCUUUCUUUUUUCUUCUUUGAUUUUUUUAAGCUAUAAGGUAAAAUAUUUUUAAAAAAAAUUCUUUUUUUUUCUUUUUUUUCUUUUUUCUUUCUUUUUUCUUCUGUGUUUUUAGUUUUUUAAGUUACAAAGUAAAUUAUUUUUUAUUUUUUUUCAUAUAUAGGUUGAAGGAAUAUUUGUUUUUUCUUCUUCUUUCUUGUAUCCCACUUUCUUUUGUUAAUUGUUUGAGAUCUCUUCUUAAUUAUAAUAUAUUAUAUUUAAUUAAAAAAAUAUAAGAUACAGGUACUCAAUCUAAUAUUUAUUUAUACAAUAUUUAGAGUAAAAUAUAUAUAUAUAUAUAUAUAUAUAAUUUAAAUAAAUAAAUCUAACUGGUCUUUUUAGUAUAUUAUAUUCUUUUUUAUAUCAUGUUUCGUUAUUCUGUGAGUGCUUAAAAUAAUAAUAAUAAUCACUUAAAAUUAUACAUUAAUUAAGCACAAAUAUAGGUGAUAUUUGAAUCCAACAUUUAGAUGAAGAUGUGUAUGCAUGUGUCUCAUUCUUAUUUUAAAUUAUUAAAUCACAUUUAAUUUGUUAUGUAACCUGAAAAAUAUAUUUGUAAUUAUUUCUAUGAUCUUUAUUUUGUUUCAUUAAAAGAAUAUUUCUUUUGGUACAUAAUUAAAAAAGUUUUGUUUAAAGGUGUAUUGUUUUUUAGGAAACAAAUAUUAAUUCUAUUGAAUUAAAUUAUUUUCAGAUAUUUAUGUUAUUUAUAGUGUUGUGGUCGAAAAGAUUUGAUACAUGAAGACAGAAAAUCAAUAUAAAAUGUUUAGCCAAAGAACUAUGGGUAGCACCUUUUUAAAGGCAUAAGAUAUUUUUUCUUAUAAUAUUUGUCCUUAUUCUUUAUUUUUAUUUUCUCCUUUUUUCUCAAUUUGGCUAUAUACACUGAACGGAGUAAAAGUUUUUACACUAGUAGUUCAAAUCCAACCGAAAAAUCUUCCACUAACUACUUUGAUUCAGCUUUUCUGGAGAAUCUAAACUUAAAAUUAAGAAUUAAAAACAUGAAUGCACGACGUUACGAAGUUACGAAUCAUAAGAAAAGUUCAAUUUCUUAUUUUCCAUCAUGAUUCUGAUUCGAUCUAAGUCUAAUAUUUCAGUUCCAGUGGAGCAAUUCACCAGAAUGAUAAUUAUACAGAUAGAAGAAAAAGCAAAAGAGGAAAAAAAAGAAGGAAAAUCAUACCACGGAAGUAGCCACCGGAGACGGCGUCGGAAUUUCAAUCGGCGGCUAAGACUGAUGAACUGAGCC